rnacentral:rRNA from 1 species
UACGUAGGGUGCAAGCGUUGCCCGGAUUUAUUGGGCGUAAAGGCGCGUAGGCGGCUCGGCACGUCCGUUGUGAAAUCGCCCGGCUCAACUGGGCGGGGUCAGCGGAUACGGUCGAGCUUGAGCAAGCUAGGGGCAAUGGAAUUCCCGGUGUAGUGGUGGAAUGCGUAGAUAUCGAGAGGAACACCUGCGGCGAAGGCGGGUUGCUGGGCUGACACUGACGCUGAUGCGCGAAAGCUAGGGGAGCGAACGGG